AACUAACUAGGAUUCCCUCAGUAGCUGCGAGCGAACAGGGAUAAGCCCAGCACCGAAUCCCGCGGCCGAUACCGGACGCCGGGAAAUGUGGUGUUCGGGAGGGUCCAUUAUCCCGAGAUUAUGCGACGCGUCCAAGUCCUUCUUGAACGGGGCCACAGCCCAUAGAGGGUGCCAGGCCCGUAGCGACCGUCGCUGAUCGCGGGAGGAUCUCUCCUCAGAGUCGGGUUGCUUGAGAGUGCAGCCCUAAGUGGGUGGUAAACUCCAUCUAAGGCUAAAUAUGACCACGAGACCGAUAGCGAACAAGUACCGUGAGGGAAAGUUGAAAAGCACUUUGAAGAGAGAGUUCAAGAGUACGUGAAACCGUUUAGGGGUAAACCUGAGAAACCCGAAAGGUCGAAGGGAGAAAUUCAUUCGCGUUUCGACGCAGGCGUCGAGCUGUCGCGUGACGAGAGGCGUUCGCGUUUCUCGCACCUUCAGUUCGUGCGAACCGGCGGCGAACGCGUGCACUUUUCUCCUGGUAGGACGUCGCGAUCCGUUGGGUGUCGGUCUACGGCACGUGGUGGAGCCCGUUCGUCGUUGCAAAACGUACGGACGGACCCACGUGUUCUGGCCGACUCGCUCGACGGUAUACGAAAGGUUUAAGGCCGCUCAUUUCGAGCGUUCGGCUCGUGGCAAGCCCGCCAGAUGCGUCGGCGAUCGGACCUAGUGCCGAUUCUGACCUCUGGCGACUGUUGGCCACGAUGUCCUCGAACAGACU
rnacentral:rRNA from 1 species